AACACACCCGUCUCUAUUCCCCUCAAGAAGGUUCUGGAAGAACCUAGGAGACGACGCUAUUUCCACCACUAAGGCCACCUCAUCUCGCCAUUUUUGGAAAGGAUUAAGGCCAAAGGACAAGCGGUCAGGAGCGUUAAAGCAUUUCAGGCACGAGCAUUAAUUGCCCUACCCAUUUUCGUCUAACACUACCACAUUUUUUGCCCAAACAAGGUAUUUAAUCCCUUUUUCUUCUCUAUUUUCAUUCACUACUGUCAAGCCAUAAUGGGUCUUGUUGGAUUUUGAAAAAGAAAGGUCAAUUUUCAUUGUUUCACCCAUGAAGGGUUGGAUCGGUCAAGACGAAAUUGAGCCGUAGACCAUUGAUUUUUUUUCUUUAGCAGAUCUCAGCCGUUUGUUUGAAAUUACAAGGGAAAACCGCCCAGUUUGAUCUAGUCCCACAGCGAUAUUCUUAGUCCUCUGAAUGAAUUUUGGGGUUCUAUAAAUAGAACCCCAUCCCUCACCAAAAAACAAGUUUUUUCACAACCAAGAGGCUUGAACUUUGAGUUUUACUCGAAAUUUAAGCUUCAUCAGUAAAAUUUUAGACUUCUAUUAAAGGGUUCGAGUCUUUUCUAGUUCUAAAAUUUAUUUCCUUUUUGUGCUUUGUGUGGCUGAGAGUGGAAUUUGGAAGCACCAAGGUCUUCAAAUCCAUUCUUGUUCAUGGCUGCGCUCAAACAAGCUAACCUGUUAGGACAAGGCCCAAUAGGAAAUUCCUUCGUAAUUAUUGUGUCAGCGAAGGUAGGAGCUAAUAUUAAAAGAAACGCGUAGAAGGCCCAGCCAUGGGUGAAAAUAUCCAACUAGGGGCUUGGUACGCCCCUAGCCUUUCCUCUCUUUUAUUUUAUUUAUGUUGUUUUCUUUAAAGGUGCAUUUUGUGGUAUAUUUGUACAUGGUUGUAAAAACUCAUACAUACAUAUAUUGGAAUCUUUAUUGUUUGAA